AUGACUCACAUGGGCCAGUUGUUGUCCCACACCCCAUCCACCGAUAACUGUUCUCUAGUAAACUGGUAGACAUACGAACUCUAUUUACAUCAUAAAUCCCUUUCCCCCCUCACCCGACAGUUUCGUUCUCGACAAAAUGGAUCAAUACGGCGUGCCCAAAGUCCUACAGACCUUGCUAUCAUAUGCUGUCUACGACUAUGGUGACGCCAUUCGCGGAAUAGUCACCGCUGCAGGCCCUUUAACAAUCGCUACGCUUUUGCCCAUUAAACAGCUGUACUGUUAUCUAGCAAUGUGAAGCAGUUAUAAUAGUUCAAAAAACAGAUCUCACUGUAGCCAGUGCCCAGCAAAUGAUGCACAUGACCAACCGGUAUUGACAGCUUAAAAUAAUAUUGUUUAACCGUGUCGGUACAUUUUUAUCGAUACGGUUUUAUGUGAGGAAUAAAAGUUUAUGGCUGUUAUCGUUUUGUAUUACAACUUGCUAUUUUUUCCCCCUUUCGUUUUGUUUGUCGGUCGUGGUGGUGGUUGAUGUUAUUAAAGUCGAAACUCUUGUAGUAG